rnacentral:piRNA from 1 species
UGAGUCCAUUUCUGUAUUUGGCAAAGUGA